CAGUCGCCGCGGUAAUACGUAGGGUGCAAGCGUUAAUCGGAAUUACUGGGCGUAAAGCGUGCGUAGGCGGCUUCUUAAGUCGGAUGUGAAAUCCCUGAGCUUAACUUAGGAAUUGCAUUCGAUACUGGGAAGCUAGAGUAUGGGAGAGGAUGGUAGAAUUCCAGGUGUAGCGGUGAAAUGCGUAGAGAUCUGGAGGAAUACCGAUGGCGAAGGCAGCCAUCUGGCCUAAUACUGACGCUGAGGUACGAAAGCAUGGGGAGCAAACAGGAUUAGAUACCCGUGUAGUCCCUGUCUCUUAUAC
rnacentral:rRNA from 1 species